AUCGCUUCUCGGCCUUUUGGCUAAGAUCAAGUGUAGUAUCUGUUUAAACAUGUCAAACGUUGUAUAACAUACAUCUUUAGGGCCUUUUUCAACCAGAGCUUCAAUAAUAUUCAAGGCGGACGAUUGCAUUGUCUUACUAAACGUUU
rnacentral:snRNA from 1 species